rnacentral:rRNA from 1 species
GUGGCGCACGGGUGAGUAACGCUGAGGACGUACCUUUAUACGGAAUAACUGAGGGAAACUUCAGCUAAUACCGUAUGACUCCUUCGGGAGAAAGAUUAUCGCUAAAGGAUCGGCCCGCGUCAGAUUAGUAGUUGGUGAGGUAACGGCUCACCAAGCCGACGAUCUGUACUGGUCUGAGAGGAUGAUCAGCCACACUGGGACUGAGACACGGCCAACUCCUACGGGAGGCAGCAGUGGGGAAUAUUGGACAAUGGGGGCAACCCUGAUCCAGCCAUGCCGCGUGAAUGAAGAAGGCCUUCGGGUUGUAAAGCUCUUUCGAUGGGGACGAUGAUGACGGUACCCAUAUAAGAAGCCCCGGCUAACUUCGUGCCAGCAGCCGCGGUAAUUACGAAGGGGGCUAGCGUUGUUCGGAAUUACUUGGGCGUAAGCGCACGCAGGCGGUCUGUCAAGUCCGGGUUGUGAAUCCCCGGGCUCAACCUGGGAACUGCAUUCGAAACUGGCAGGCUAAGUCUUGUAAAGGGGGUAGAAAUUCCAGGUGUACGUAAAUGCGUUAAUCUGAGGAAUACCGUUGGCAAGGCGCCCCCUGGACAAAUUGCCUCA